UACGGAGGGUGCAAGCGUUAUCCGGAUUCACUGGGUUUAAAGGGUGCGUAGGUGGGCAGGUAAGUCAGUGGUGAAAUCUCUGGGCUUAACCCGGAAACUGCCGUUGAUACUAUCUGUCUUGAAUAUAGUGGAGGUGAGCGGAAUAUGUCAUGUAGCGGUGAAAUGCUUAGAUAUGACAUAGAACAUCGAUUGCGAAGGCAGCUCGCUACACUAUGAUUGACACUGAGGCACGAAAGCGUGGGGAUCAAACAAG
rnacentral:rRNA from 1 species